GUUCGGUAUACCGAUAUACCGAAAAUAUCGGUAUUAAAUCAAUAUCGGUAUAUCGAUACCGGAUAUUCAACCAUACCUAUAUACCGAAAUUUCCGAUAUACCGGAAUUUUUCAGUAUGCCGUGUUAAAUUUACCAACUAUAUGGCGAAACCAUAACCUUUAUUUUACUACUGAAUGGCAAUUCAAAGAACUUUCUACUGCAAUGAUUUAGAAUUUCCACUUCAGUGAGAUUUUACACUGAGUACGUGUCGUUCGAAACAUGUUCGAAACAGCUUCGAAAUUAUCGUUUUCCCUUUUAGAAUUACUCAAAAUUUCCUUCAAAUUUCCAUUAAAGAAUUUUCCUUUAUAAUUAUCAAAGGAAAACCGGUAUACCGAUAAUAUCGGUAUAAUUUUUUCGGUAUACCGAUACCGGAAAUUUCUCAUACCGAACAUUCCUAACUGCUAUCUACUACACCCAUCAGAGUCUAACAACGAUUUGUUUUUUCAUUUCAGGUAAACGAAACACAUUUAGACCUUCUAUACAAGAGCUGCUGUCUAUAGUGUAUCGGUAUGGUAUUAGUUUUUCCUAAAUGUUUAAACCUAGUUCUUGUACAGGUAGAUAUUAUGUGCUACUGUAUUUUAAUCAAAUCUUAAUUAUUAUGAGUAUAUAAUUGUACACAUUUUAAAAUAAUGUUUUAACUAUAAGUAUUGGAACAUUUUAAUGUGACUAUAUGUUAACGUAUUAAUGGUGUUGUUAAAUGCUGCCGACAUUAAAUUUUAAUAUAUUGUGGCUUUUGAUCUGUGUGUGUGUGUGUGUGUGUGCCAUCAAAUGUAUAAUAGAAAAAUAAUAUUUGAAUAAUUGUUGUUGUGAAUAUAUAGAAG